rnacentral:tRNA from 1 species
GGAGAGGUGGCAGAGUGGUUGAAUGUACCGCACUCGAAAUGCGGCGUAGGGUAAAACCUAUCGAGGGUUCGAAUCCCUCCCUCUCCGCCA